AUAUAAACUUCUCUGUUUUAGUGUGUUAAAGGUGGAUAAGAAGUCAUCUAUUAGGUUAAGCGUGGGCGGCAAGCUGUAUAAAAGUGACACCCUCAGAGUAACUCAGGGUUCAGAAUUUGUCAUGCUAAUACUCUGAACCAUCGUGCACGAAUAAAAACCUGUUUUCUCCAACCCUUCGUGGUCUUGUCUUCUGAUGGCUCCAGCAUUGGCGGUCGGCCACUCCAAGAACCACUGAUGAAGGGUAAGGAGACCAGGCAACUUUCCAGCCGGCUAGAGGACAAAUGAUUCGCCUGCAGGCAAGUAUUGAAAGGGAAAUAAGGAAUCCCUCCCUGUAAGCAGGGACGGAGGAGAGGACUGAUCACCCUCUCUUUGGAAUAAGGUGGGAGGAUUGUUGUGUGUGUUUGCAGUGAGUGAGUGGCGCUCGAACUUCCCAUCGGUGACCGUUGAGUUUCCGGCUCCCUGGGUCUAGCGCGUAUAAGUGAAACCCUCAGUGUAAUCCCGAGUGGAAGGACCCCUUACCUUCCUCUCAUCCCCUUUCCUCAUUUGUCUUGUCUGGUGCCCUGGGAGGCUCAUGGGGGGGUGGUGAAAGUGUACUCCUUACUCCAUUGGGGUGUAUGUUAAAGCAUUUUAAGUCUGCUUAUGAGGAUCAGGAUUGUGGUAUUAAGUGGAGCAGGCAUAAGUUGAGGAUCUUCUGUGAGGUAGAUUGGCCCAGCUUUAACAUAGGCUGGCCAAGCACAGGGACACUAGAUCCAUUCAUUGCUCUAAAAGUACAUUAGUUAGUGUUCAAUCCCAUGUUAGGGCACCCAGACCAGGCACCCUAUAUUGAUGUGUGGCUCGGCUUGUUGCAAAGACCUCCACCAUGGAUUCAGAAAUGCAAAACUGUCCCCUAUGUUAAAAAGUUUAAAGAUAGAAAAAGUUGGGGACAAGCCAUAAUCCAACCAGAUGUCCAGGAUCAAAGGACCCAAACUGGACCUUCAGCAAGAGGUGCUGAGAGGGUCCAAGGCAGAAGAGGAACGGAUGGGACUGCAAAUAGAAGACAGAGAAGUGGGAGGACUGACAGCUGAACAAACGAGGACAAAGACUGAGGAAGCAUCUUUGAAUGCUCCCCUUAGACAAGUAGAUCAAUUGGUUGUCAGUAAGGACGAUCCAGCAGAAACAGCCACAGCUCCUCUAUUCCAACAUAUGCCUUUUAUUACAUCAGACCUUCUUGUUUAGAAAUUUCAUUAUGGCCCAUUUAGUGCAAAAAACAAAUCAAGUGUCCGAAAGACUUUUGUGAAUAGAGAGAAGGAGGAGGAAAAGAAAAAGGAUCAGAAAAUGCAAAGGAAAGCUGAAUUGCUGGCAGCUGCUAUGAUGGGGGUGUCAAGGGGAGGUGGCAGAGGUAGAGGACGGGGAAGGGUGUUAGGACAAAACCAGUGUGCCAUAUGUAAGAAGGAAGGACACUGGAAGGGUGAAUGUCCAGAAAGAGAAAAGGAGGAAGAAAAAGGAGGGGGAAGAGGUAGGUUUGCGAAGAGCUACAGAGGUGGCCCAAGGAGAAGCCAGGGAGGGAGAGAAAGAAGAAGAGGAUUUUCAAGGACUCCCCUCAUAGGCCUGGCAGAAGCAGAGGAAUGGGACUGAGACCGACUGGGUUCAGCCCGCCUCCCAGAACCUGUGGUCAGUAUAACAGUAGGAGGCAAACCUAUUCCCUUCCUUGUGAAUACUGGAGCCACCCGAUCAGUCCUAACCCAACCCCUAAGCCAAGCCUCCCCUCACUCUAUCAACAUACAAGGAGCAACAGGAAAAAUAUUGCAGAGACCCUUUUUGGAGCCCUUAAGUUGCACUAGGGGAGGAAAAACUAUAACCCUUCAGUUUGAAUAUAUGCCAAUUCUUUUAUUGGUAAGGGAUCUGCUUUGUAAACUAAGGGUGCAGAUCUCCUUUGAAGAAGAUGGCACAAUGGCCAUAAACUAUGGAAAGGUGAUGAUGGAAGUACCCCAUGCAGAGGAAUGGAGAAUGGUGAUGCUGGCACAAGCAGUAGAAGCAAAUACAAAGUGGAAAGAGUUCAAUAUGCCACACCUGUGGGCAGAGGACAACCCCCCCCCGGUUUUGCAAAGCAUCGUCCACUAUCUGCCAGCUGCCUGUACUGAAGAAUAGGAAAGAGUUAAGAGGAUUUUUUAGUUGCUGCUGGCUUCUGCCGAAUAUGGAUCCCUACCUUUAGUUUAAUAGCAAGAUCCCUAUAUGAGGCCACAGAGGAUGGGAGAUAAAGAACCAUUGCGAUAGGAACAGCAAGAAAAUAACAGCUUCACCGCUCUCAAGGAGGCUCUAAUGUGCGCCCCUAGUUUAGGUAUACCAGACUUGGACAAGUUAUUUCAACUGUUUGUAGAUACAAAGCAAAAUGUGGCAGUAGGAGUUCUCACCCAGAAAACAGGAACCUGGCAUCACCCGGUCACUUAUCUGUCUAAACAGCUUGACAAUGUAGCCAGAGGAUGGCCGGCUUGAAGCUAACAAGUUGACUUUUGGACAAAAGUUAGAUAUCUACACACCCCAUGCUCUUAAAGCUGUCUUAGGAGCAAAAGGACAUUUGUGGCUAACCAACCCAUGCAUGCUGAAAUAUCAAGCUCUAAUAAUACAUAAUCCAAUGAUUAUAUUAAUUUAAUCAAACUCACUGAAUCCAGCCACGCUGUUGCCUGAAUCAGACUUGGAAACCACACGUAGUUGCAUACAAGCUAUCGAAGAAACUUACACUAGCCGCUCAGACAUGAGAGAUGUCCCCCUGCUUGAUCCAGACUUUACAAUAUACACGGGUAGAACUAGUUUUAUGCAAGAAGACAUUUGAAAGGCAGGAUGUGCUGUGGUGAUUUUGGAGGAAGUAUGGGAAGCUGAGCAACUUCCGCCCGGUACAAAUGCUCAGCUAGCUGACCUGCAUGCAUUAACUAGAGCUUUGGAGUUGGCAAAAGGAAAGUGCAUUAAUAUUACACAGACUCUAAGUAUGCAUUCCUAACAGUGCAAGUCCAUGGAGCCUUAUACAAAGUAAGAGGACUUAUAACUUCAGGGGGAAAGGAUGUUAAAUAUGGACCACAGAUAUUGCGUCUGCUGAAUAGUGUGGGGAGCCUAAGGAAGUAGCUGUAAUGCAUUGCAAAGGCCAUCAGAAGGGAGCAUCAGAUAUUCAAUUAGGAAAUAAUAAGGCAGACAGGGAAGCUCACAUUGCUGUACUAAAGGCACCUUCUGAGCAUACAAAUUGUCUAGCUUUGUGGACCCCUGAGGAACAGGACCAGGGUAAACCAAACUACUCUCAGGAAGACUUGGACAAAGCUGAGAUGCUGGAAGCAAGGCAGGAAGAUGGUUGAUGGAUUUGGCCAGACCAGCGAGUCUCUAUCCCAGGAUAUAUGGCAUGGGAUGCAGUGCAACAGGUUUAUAAGCAACUGCACCUGGGAAAGGCGGCACUGGCAAAUGCCCUGAAGAGAGAGGUUUAUAUUGACAAAAUAGACAGUAUUGCAGCGAAUGUUUAUGCUAGAUGUGAGAUCUAUUCCACCAACAACCCAAGGCAAGGACCCCAACUGCCUCAAGAACAUCAGCCCAGAGGAAAUUAUCCCUUCGAUUCCUUGAUGAUUGAUUUUACUGACAUGCCAUGCUCAGGUCCCUAUAAAGCAAUGCUAGUCAUAGUAUGUACAUACACUAGAUGGCUAGAUUGCAUCCCUACAAAGAGGAAGAAGAAAAAAGCAACUGAGGUCGCAAAAGCCUUGCUUCAUAUUAUUAUUCCCAGGUAUGGGUUGCCAUCUAGAAUCUCUUCAGAUAAUGGUCCUGAAUUUAUCCAUAGAGCCACCCAAAGGAUAGCAGCUAUGCUAGGAAUAACAUGGAAGCUUGACUGUAGUUUCCAUGCUCAAUCAGGAGGAAGGGUGGAGAGAAUACAUAGACCAUUAAGGAAAAAUUGGCAAAAAUAUGUCAGGAGACUCAGCUUAAGUGGCCAGAUGCUUUAAAUAUGGCCCUGGUUGUGGUAAGGUGUGCCCC